rnacentral:rRNA from 1 species
GCACAAGCGGUGGAGUAUGUGGUUUAAUUCGAUGCAACGCGAAGAACCUUACCUGGUCUUGACAUCCCGGAGACCCUUAGGAAACUAGGGGGUGCUUCCAUCUGGAAGAAUCUGGAGACAGGUGCUGCAUGGCUGUCGUCAGCUCGUGUCGUGAGAUGUUGGGUUAAGUCCCGCAACGAGCGCAACCCUUGCCUUUAGUUGCCAGCAGUUCGGCUGGGCACUCUAAAGGGACUGCCGGUGUUAAACCGGAGGAAGGUGGGGAUGACGUCAAGUCCUCAUGGCCUUUAUGACCAGGGCUACACACGUACUACAAUGGCCGAUACAAAGGGCAGCGACACUGCGAGGUGAAGCCAAUCCCGUAAAAUCGGUCUCAGUCCGGAUUGGAGUCUGCAACUCGACUCCAUGAAGUUGGAAUCGCUAGUAAUCGUGGAUCAGCAUGCCACAGUGAAUACGUUCCCGGGCCUU